rnacentral:rRNA from 1 species
UACGGAGGGGGCUAGCGUUGUUCGGAAUUACUGGGCGUAAAGCGCACGUAGGCGGCUUUGUAAGUUAGAGGUGAAAGCCCGGGGCUCAACUCCGGAAUUGCCUUUAAGACUGCAUCGCUAGAACUGUGGAGAGGUAAGUGGAAUUCCGAGUGUAGAGGUGAAAUUCGUAGAUAUUCGGAAGAACACCAGUGGCGAAGGCGACUUACUGGACACAUAUUGACGCUGAGGUGCGAAAGCGUGGGGAGCAAACAGG